rnacentral:rRNA from 1 species
CAGCAGCCGCGGUAAUACGUAGGUGGCAAGCGUUAUCCGGAAUUAUUGGGCGUAAAGGGAGCGCAGGCGGCUUAUUAAGUCUGAGGUUAAAGUUCGGGGCUCAACCCCGUGAUGCCUUAGAAACUGGUAGGCUAGAGUGCAGGAGAGGUGAGUGGAAUUCCAUGUGUAGCGGUAAAAUGCGUAGAUAUAUGGAGGAACACCAGUGGCGAAGGCGGCUCACUGGCCUGUAACUGACGCUGAGGCUCGAAAGCGUGGGGAGCAAAUAGGAUUAGAUACCCUAGUAGUCCACGCCGUAAACGAUGGAUACUAAGUGUUGGGAUAGAAUCUCAGUGCUGUAGUUAACGCAAUAAGUAUCCCGCCUGGGGAGUAUGCGCGCAAGCGUAAAACUCAAAGGAAUUGACGGGGGCCCGCACAAGCGGUGGAGUAUGUGGUUUAAUUCGAUGCAACGCGAAGAACCUUACCUGGUCUUGACAUACCACGCAAAAGCUUAGAGAUAAGUAAUAGUUAUGGUGGAUACAGGAGGUGCAUGGCC